rnacentral:rRNA from 1 species
AUGGGCGAACUAAGGGCUUUACAAAAGCCGACUCAAGCAUGCAGGACGGCGACUAGAAGUCGGCCGACCCACUGGAUAGCACCUCCGUGGGGUUUAUCAAAGCUCAAUGCAGAUGCUGCUAUUGGAAGAGGGGGAGCGUAUGGUUCUGUGGGCCCGAUAUGCAGAAAUCAGCAUGGCUUGUUUCUGGGAGCCUUAGCUGUAGUUUUCCCUAACCUGUCAGACCCAACCACACUAGAGGCUAUGGCCAUCAGAGAGGCACUAUCGUUAGCUGACGGCCUUUAUGAACGGAAGAUUCAGGUGGCCAGCGAUUGCAAAGUUGGAGUGGAAGACAUCCAGCAGAAGAGCAGAGGGAGUUAUGGUGCAAUUGUGCAUGAAAUAGUGCAGCACACGUCUACCUUUCAAAAUUAUAAUAUUAAGCAUGAAUUUCGUAGUUCGAACUUCAAGGCUCACAAGCUCGCAAAGCACGCUUUAUCUUUAGGUGCUGGCCACCAUGUUUGGUUAGGCCAGCCCAAUGGACUUGGUUUCGUCCCUAUAAACAUUGUGACGGGAUAA